CUGGACUUUUGUCCCAGCUCAUCCUCUCGGCCAGAUGCCUUGUGCAGUGAGCAGCGUACACAACCUUACAUGAAAAUAAGACCCAAUAAAUUAAAUAUAACCCCAUUUCAGUAAGUUUAUUAUCAAUAGUUGAAAAAAGGACAAGAAGGGCAUAGUUAUCAAAGAACAUUCCACAGCUAAAUCUCCAGGUGCCCCAGCCUCACUGCAGCUUCCCCUAGACUCUGCCUUCCUUCUGUUUUGUACACAUUGUCUGUGUUUCUGUCUCAAAGCCCAAUUCCCCACCCUCUCGCUGACUCGAAGACCUCUCAUCUUCAGUUGACCCUUCUUUCGAGCGCCAGCAGUCUCCUCUUUCUAUCGAAUCAUUCCAAUCAAUUAACAAAUGCUGAGAUGGCUCUCAGCUUAAAAAACAAACAUUUUGACCUCAUCUUUUCCAACUCUUGCCCCAAUUCUCUCCACUCCCCUUCUUGGUGAAGCUCCUCAAAGAAGAUGUCUGUAUGGGCCAUCUCCCUUCCCUGCCCCUAAUCUGGGGGUGCCUCUGCAAGCCUGGCACAGACUUGGUCCCCCCAACUGGCUUAGGAUACAGUGGUACCUGGCACUUACUGCACCAGGCUUGGCCUUUGGGGCAUCAGUGACGAUGGAGACAGGAGUCCCAGCUUAUCCUCCUGAUACAUGACCAUCAUAACGCACGAAUUCUCUGAAGCAAUGAGACUCCCGUGAUUCUAUUUCUCCUGCUCUUCCCUUGUAUUCAAGUGUCUGUCAUCACCAGUCCAUCACUGUCUUCAGUGCUCUUCAGCAACUUGCAAAGCAUAGAAGUUCCCUAGGUCAGGGCUUACAGACUUAAAUCCCUCCAGAGUCCAAGCAACAGUAUGAAUAGGGAGACCCACCGGGACUGAGAAAUCCCAGAUGAAGAGGAGUGACAUGGAGGCUUAGUGCAGGGGAGCUAUAGGGAGGGGUGGGGCCGUUGUCAACUUGAAGGGGGCAAGCCCUGCCCUGUCUGAAGGGGCAGCUCCUGCUGGGUUCAGGCCAACUGUUGCUUUGCUGGAAUAUGGGCUUAUUGCUGUUCCAAACUCUAAUUUUUCAAGAGAAGGUAGAAAUCUGUCUUUUUAUGUGAAAUCUCCAGGUAUUUAAAAGUUGGCUACUAAUUCAUAUUUUCUUCAAAAUACUGUGUGGACCAACAAACCAGAGGCCAAUCAAAAUACAUGCGGGCACCAGGGCUGGCAACAGGCCUUCAGGGUGCUACCUUGGCCUGAUGUUUUCAUCCUGAGUUCAACCUCCCUUUGAUUAUUUCUCCCAAGUUCCCCACAAUUUUAUUAUUUCCUUUUCGUUCUCUCCAGCUCUCUUCUUGGGUCUUAGACAUGGAACCAGGAGAUAGAUGGACAGAAAGCAAUGUUUUUCCCCAUACACUGAACUUAGAGAUUCAUUACUGAUUCACAUUGUAAUUGUGAGUCAAGAAGACUUUUUUCUCAUCUUCUUUCUUAUAUUUCUGUUCUAAAUCAGAGCACAAAGAAUAAACUUCCAGGGUCACCCACCAGAUGACAGAGCCACCCAGUGGGAAUCACCCACAUCGUUUGUGAGCUCAAAGCCCCAAGCAUACAUCUGACCAGAAAAUUAAAAGGCAAAUGGGACAAGCACUGAGCCAGAGGAACCAAAGACUGAGCUUUCUCCUCAUUUAACACAGGAAUCUCCAAUGAGAAUGCCUUCCACGCUUGUUACUUCUAAGAGUGAUGGCUGCUAAGGCCAGGGGUGGGCCUGGGGACUGUGUGGUGCUGAGCUGUCAGCAAGGCCAUUCUUACCUACAUUCACUUGCAUUUUAGAAGCCCGGAAAUGAGCAGAACUCCAGCGUUGCUCAGCAGAACCUUAUCCUUCUGCAUUAAAGUAGCAGCUGAAAGAACUGCUGUCUUAGGUUAAGAUGUUUAGCCUGCCUAAAACAGUGUAUUUCUGAGGAAGAGUAUGUGUCACUCAUUUAUACUUCCUUUUUACCUUAGUAUUGUGUAUGUUUCAGACCUUUCCUAAGGGAUAUGUGUAGAAGAGAAGUUUCUCCAGGAGUCGAGAGGGGGAUUCGCUGAAGAGCUUGGACACUGAGGCGCUGCAGAGCGUGCUGUGUUCACCAAUGUCCAUGGGAUCCUUCCACGGUUAGGUGGGUGGCAUGAUGGUUGUAGCCAAGGGCAUCGCACUUCUGAUUCAGGUGGUUAAGAACCUGGUGCUCCUUUUACUCCUUCUCUUCUGUCCACAUGACUAGAAGUACCUGAGCCAACUCAGAUCACAAAGCCACACCAUGAUCCCCGAGUCACUGCUUGGAGGACCACUGCCAUGGAGCCACCCAGUUCUCAACAGACUUUGCACACCUGAGAAACACACUUGUAUUCAGUUACUGGAAUUUGAGGACUAUUUGUUAUAACAGCUAGCAUGAAUUACUAUAACUAAUACAAAAGAGAAAUUGGAAAGGCUGGUCAAAAUGUACCCACAGUCCUUUCCACAGCCGCUGGGCUGAGCUACAGGAAGUGGAAGCUGUGGUUAUUCCACCCCUGUAACUGCUGUCCCCAGGUCCUGAGAUAAUGUCCACCUGUUCUUUGAGAUAAUGUCACCCAAAUCUCCAGGUCUUGAGGACCCAUCUGGAACGCGGCCCCCUCCACUGAAGAACCCACGUGGUUGCCACAGUUUUGCCUCCUCGCCGGCACCUUAACAGGUGGCCGCUGCCCCUGGCCAGAAUGAACAGGACCACGGACUCUCUAGGGGGUCUGGCAGGAACCACGGCUGUGGCUGAGGAAGCACUCUGAAAUGAGGAAGGAGGGGCAAAGAUGAGAAGACUGCCCAACAUCAUCAGCUAAACGGAAACCUGCCAUGCGUCUGAGAUCUCUAUCUUAAGGCUCAACCUCCAGACCCCAAGCAUUGCUCUCGGUCAACUUCUCCUGCUGACAGGAGGGUCCUGGGGGGCUGAGGGCCUCACUACCACUGGAACCAUUUCUGAAAGCACGCAUCCUCCUGGGUUAGGGACAUGGGGCGUGGCUGUAGGCUUGACUUGAGGCUGACUGUUCCUGUCAAGGCUGGGGAGGGAGGGGACCAGGAAAGGGGUCAGGAACGGGAAGGAACCCAACGUGACAGAUUUCAAAAGGUGACAAUAUUUUCCUGGAAAUACAGUGUCUAUGUGCAGUAGGUUUCUAUAUAACUAACCUUCUGUCUUGAGUUGGAGCUGGGAAUUGAUUUUUUUUUUACAGGAAAAGGAAAUGCAUGGGUGUGGAGCUGCCAGCAGCAAGGGAAGUUCCCAGGGGACUUGUCAUGGUGCAAUUUAUAGACCCAAGUCUCAGAAGGGCUGUGGCGGGCUGAGGAGAGGGUGUGAUUUGCUGACAGUGGAGCCUGGCACCUGGCACCCAUCCACACCGCUGAGCUCAGCAUGCACGUGUGUCGCCGGGACACAACCGCAUCGGGGCCAUUGAAGUGAAAAGGGCAGAAGGCAAAUGCACUCAUCCAGAGUGGACAUAAAAAAGGAACCCGGAAAGCAACAGAGAGGGAUUGUGGGGAAGGGGAGCUGGCUCCAGGGUGAGGGGCCUCCCACGACCUCUCUGAGACCCGACUUGCAGCAGCUAAUUGAACCUGCCCUCCGCUCCUGAAACACACAUAGCAUGGAUGCUGGCAAGGUCUUCCUUCCAAGAGAAGAAAGUCCCUUUCGCUGUCAAGCCAGCUCUUCUGGGAAGUGGACAAAUGGACCUCAAGGGACAGAAUCAAAUAACUGACUCCCACCCUGUCCCUGAGGCUUUCCCCUGAGCCACAGAGACCAGAGGAAGCGGCUGGAAGACUCUGUGAGAGUCCAUUAGGCAGCAAGGCCUGACAGUCCACACCGUGUCCUGGGCGAGGGCUGCAGCGGUGUUUACAGAGCCCGGGGGCCCUGCCAGAGCUAACAUGCCACACGCUCGGCCCAUCUGGGCAGGCUGGAAAAAGUCGACCAUUUUCCUCUGGAUCCUGAUCUCUGUGGCCCAAAACAUUCCGCACAGCUACAUUUGCUUCCCUCCCCUCACAUCCCUUCAGAAAACCCACACAUCUGUAUACAUACUUGAAAAUAAAUAUGCAUAAAUGCAGAAUCCAUGCUGAAGGUGGGGGCGGAACAAGCCUCGGGGGCUCCUCUCUGCAUGGACCCUGCCUGAAGCUGCUCUUCUGCCCCAGGACAGCCCACCCCAGGCAAGCUCCAACUGCAGCAUUUUCUAGAAGUGUGAGAACUCUUACCAACGUGCUACCUGGCUCUGUGGCUCCCCAGUCAACACAAACACAAUUUUGAGGUCUGCAGUUCAAAUUUGCUUCCCCCUACAAACUUCUGAGCUGGGUUCAUAGGGCAAAAAGGCCCGAGUUUCUUUUCAAGUCAAUCGGAAACCCUCCAAGCCAAGACCCAUCCUCAUACACCAACUUUACCAAAGGUUUUCCUUCUCACUAAGAUGACAAAAGAUAAAGCCUCUGCUCUGCUCUUUUUGAGCUUAUUCUUGUCCAUUUUUCAAACUCGGCCUCGUUGUUUUGAUCCUCUUGGGUCCUGGGGAUUGAAAGUGCCACCUGAUUUCUGGAAGCCUGGAGGUGCACAGGUGGUCCUGUCCUCUUAGCAUGCUGUGGGCUCUAGGACUGCAUGUGGGGCAAGGGAAGGCAGUUGGAGUCUGAAGCCAGGCUAAUUCAGGAUGCCGCUGAGCAACGGCCACCACAGAGAAAGCAGAGAGCCAUGCACACACUCUUGCCAGGGGCCAGCAAAGGGUGGUGCCAUCUGCAGCUGCAUUGUUGACCAUCACAUAGCUGCUUCUCCCACUUGGGUGUCUACAAAAUGGCCAUGAUAUCAGUUGCUAUGGUAAUGGGCAUCCUGGU